UAGGAGAGGGUGGCUUGUAAAGAGACUUUCAUAAGAUGCUUUCAGCUAUUCUUGUCUCUUAUCCUUCCCCAAUGCACACAGUGUCAGCAGCUGAAAAAAGGUGGCUUCCAUUCUGUUAAGCAGGCAGUUCAAAUUAUUUUUAUUUUUUUAGACUCAGGUCACUGCAUGUGGAUUUUCUGCAAUUUUGCUUAAUGUGUACAACACUGUUCUGGCAAGUGCUAAAAAA